rfam:Villosiclava virens strain TV-8b Sca_136, whole genome shotgun sequence.
UAGCAUUGCGAUGGCCAGAAAGUGGUGUUGACGCAAUGUGAUUUCUUAAGCCAUGCAUGUCUAAGUAUAAGCAAUUAUACGGCGAAACUGCGAAUGGCUCAUUAUAUAAGUUAUCGUUUAUUUGAUAGUAUCUUGCUACUUGGAUAACCGUGGUAAUUCUAGAGCUAAUACAUGCUAAAAAUCCCGACUUCGGAAGGGAUGUAUUUAUUAGAUUAAAAACCAAUGCCCUCUCCUGUAUAGGGUGAAGCCAGAGGAAACUCUGGUGGAGGCUCGCAGCGGUUCUGACGUGCAAAUCGAUCGUCAAAUAUGGGCAUGGGGGCGAAAGACUAAUCGAACCUUCUAGUAGCUGGUUUCCGCCGAAGUUUCCCUCAGGAUAGCAGUGUUGAUCUCAGUUUUAUGGUCACGUGACAUUGGGUAAGUCACGUGGGUAUCUAGAGGUCACGUGACAUUGGGCAAGUCACGUGGGAUUACAGAAGGAAGACAUAGGGGAGCUCUGAUGUUCUCUUAUCUAGAGGUCACGUGAGAAUAAAGGUAUAGGGUAGGCUCUCUGUCCUCUAUUGAUAAGGUUACCGAUUGAAUGGCUCAGUGAGGCGUCCGGACUGGCCCAGAGAGGUGGGCAACUACCACUCAGGGCCGGAAAGCUCUCCAAACUCGGUCAUUUAGAGGAAGUAAAAGUCGUAACAAGGUCUCCGUUGGUGAACCAGCGGAGGGAUCAUUACCGAGUUUUUACGCUCCAAACCCCAUGUGAACCUAUACCUACGCCGUUGCUUCGGCGGGCUUUCAAGCCCCGGGCAGCCGCCUCCCCGCUAGAGGGCCUAGUGCAAUUGGUGCAUGCUUGCAGCGCUCGCAGGGUGUGCCGUCGGGCGCUGGUGUGGUGCGGGGCGGCGCGCGAGGAACUUUCCCCAAAAUCUGCGCUCGUGGGUUUUUCGUUUGUAUGGGCGGGAGCAGACCUUUUUUUUUUGCCAUACAAAUUGAGCGUUUUCGAGAAAAAAAAAAACGCGCGUUGUAUGGUGGGGGCGGGGCCGGAGCGUCGAUGGGGUCGGUGGGCGGCGCGGCCACUGCCCGUAAAACGCCCAACUUCUCAAGAGUUGACCUCGAAUCAGGUAGGAAUACCCGCUGAACUUAAGCAUAUCAAUAAGCGGAGGAAAAGAAACCAACAGGGAUUGCCCCAGUAACGGCGAGUGACGUACCAUAUCUUGCACGGCGCCUAUAGGUGACUUCUCAAAAGAUCUUGCAGGCUUCCGUCUCGGUUGAGACAGAGUCAUAAUGGGCGCCAAACGUCCCCGAAACUGGUCGCUACGGCUUCACAGCGUACGGGAUAUGCCUGGCUGCAGCAGGGGGCCUCGUGCCCCGUUCCUGCGUGCCGGAUGGGUUCUGUGGGCGAUUGGCCGCUGGGCGGGUUCGCCGUAGACACAGAGCAGCAGGGGCCAACAGCGGCCCGUCUUGAAACACGGACCAAGGAGUCGUCUUCGUAUGCGAGUCGAAGUUGGCGGUAAGAGGCCCUUACGGGGAGGGAGCUGCCGACCUAGCGGCUAGCUUGCGUUGAUUACGUCCCUGCCCUUUGUACACACCGCCCGUCGCUACUACCGAUUGGCCUUUGCAAGCCGGCGCUAAAGGGCCACCCGCCAGGCGCCGCCCGUCCUCGUGGCGGGCGACCACCAGAAAACUAACUCUCUCCAGCGCCGGCCCCCGCGGCGCUGGCAGGCCACCCCCGGCGAACGAUAGUUACCUGGGGGAAGCGCUCGUGACCAGACGUGGGCCUCGGCGGAUCAUCCAGCGGUCUCCCGCUGGUGCACUCCGCCGGGCCCAGGCCAGCAUCAGUUUGCCCUGGGGGAUAAAGGCUCCGGGAACGUGGCUCCUCCGGGAGUGUUAUAGCCCGCCGCGCAAUACCCUGGGGCGGACUGAGGUUCGCGCAUCUUUUGCGGGCGAAGUUGGCGGUAAGAGGCCCUUACGGGGAGGGAGCUGCCGACCUAGCGGCUGGGGCAGACGCUGUCGAAGUCAUCAGCUUGCGUUGAUUACGUCCCUGCCCUUUGUACACACCGCCCGUCGCUACUACCGAUUGAAUGGCUCAGUGAGGCGUCCGGACUGGCCCAGAGAGGUGGGCAACUACCACUCAGGGCCGGAAAGCUCUCCAAACUCGGUCAUUUAGAGGAAGUAAAAGUCGUAACAAGGUCUCCGUUGGUGAACCAGCGGAGGGAUCAUUA